rnacentral:lncRNA from 1 species
UAUCAUCAUGACCGUAAAAUGCACCUCUGUGCAAUGGUGUAUCACCAUCAUUGUUCACCGCGUUCACACUGGCACCAUGGUUAAGCAACAGUUGUAAGGUAUCAACAUGACCGUGAAAUGCACCUCUGUGCAAUGGUGUAUCACCCUUCUUGUCCACCGCGUUCACACUGGCACCAUGGUUAAGCAACAGUUGUAAGAUAUCAUCAUGACCGUGAAAUGCACCUCUGUGCAAUGGUGUAUCACCAUCAUUGUUCACCGCGUUGACACACUGGCACCAUGGUUAAGCAACAGUUGUAA